rnacentral:rRNA from 1 species
UACGUAGGCAGCAAGCGUUGUUCGGAGUUACUGGGCGUAAAGGGUGCGUAGGCGGCUUUUUAAGUUUGGUGUGAAAUCUCCCGGCUCAACUGGGAGGGUGCGCCGAAUACUGAGAGGCUAGAGUGUGGGAGAGGAAAGUGGAAUUCCUGGUGUAGCGGUGAAAUGCGUAGAGAUCAGGAGGAACACCGGUGGUGUAAACGGCUUUCUGGACCAUAACUGACGCUGAUGCACGAAAGCGUGGGUAGCAAACAGG